rnacentral:lncRNA from 1 species
CAGCUAUCCCCCUCUAUCUGCACAAUAAAUGCUGUUGCUUACAGAAACAUGAUUACAGGAUUAGAGUUAUUGGGCCCUCGCCCAGACUAACACACUGACAGAGCAUAGCACUGGCACCUCUGAAAACUGCACUGACCUCAGGCAUCUGUACUUCAAAGGCCACGGCCACAAUCUGAGCUUCAUUAGCUUUCAAGGCUGAAGUUACGGGAGCACUACUUCCUCAGCCACUAAUGGGAAACACUCUCCUCCAUUUGCUGUUGAGGUGUUAAAAGUUCCCCUUAACGUCAGUUACCGAGCUGCAGCUCCGUACCCCAGCAAAAUGGAAAUGACUUGUGGAGUGGGAGCCGAGUUCACAUCGAACGGCAGCGCCAGACACCCCCUACCCAAGCAAAGGGCACUCGCACGUGGGGAUGUUCCAGCACCACCAGGACAGGCUCGCUUCCCCCAAGCACGCUCUGUGGACAUCAGUUCCCUCUCCUACAACUGGACCAUUAUUAUUCAUUUUAUUCAGAUGAUGCACUCUGGGGCACAGGUCACUUCUUACUGUGCUUGCACAGCCCUACCAUAGUCAUUCAGGGCUUGUGGUCAUCACCCUAGUUGAAUAGCAGUAUAUGAAGAGUGAAAUGACGUUAUCAGCUUGCUCAGAGAAGCCAGCUGGUGGCUGGGUGGUGUGGAAGGAGCCCCAGUGUCUCAUGAGUGACCAGAAGGGGGAAGAAACGUUUGUUGCAUGACGGUAUUUGGAAAUGGUAAGAGACCAGAGAACCAGCAGCUAGCUUUAUAGGAGAAUGAAAAAUAUAUGGUAUUACACAGCCUCAGUGAGACCAGAAAGAGACAGGGAAGCAGAACGGAGCUGGAGGGUUUACACCAAAAGCCUUGCUUUUAUUUUUUUUCAGCCCGACCAGCCUUCUCCAGUGCUUUGCCUAUGGGAUCGAUGCUUCUACAUUUUAAGCUGCUGCUGAAUAAAGCUUGUGAGCCUCCCUCUGGGUCAACCAGACCAGGUGGACAGCCCAAGCUCUGUCAGGGGUGGCAGAUCAGGGGACAAGUCACCAUAAUUUUUUCAUCUAAUUGCUGA